rnacentral:misc_RNA from 1 species
UAAAUUAGAAAAGUUCGAUUGAAAGAUCAGCAAAUGCAAAAAACACCAUACACAAUUAAAAUAUUUUCAAAUUGACAAUUGGUCCGGCAGCACCACAUGGGUUGUUCUAGGGUUGUUGUCGCUUUGAAAAUUUCGAUGUUUUGAAGUAUCGAUACGCGUGUCUUUAUAAAUCAGCUGCCGUCUCGGUUGUAUCUGCGGUUUUUGCAUAACAAAAUCUUUAAAUUAUCCUAAAACCACAAGAAAGAGAGGGAGAGUAACCAAAAUUGACGAAAACGAAAACGUAAAGCGAUAACGUAGUGUACUUACGUAUAGAAUAGCAACAAGAAAAUACGGAAGAGUGAUGGGUCAAUACACAGCGUCGCAGCGCAAAAAUGUGAGAAUUCUGCUUAUCGGCGAUGCUGGAGUUGGCAAAACGUCGUUAAUAUUGUCCCUAGUCAGCGAGGAGUAUCCCGAGGAGGUGCCGCCUCGAGCCGAAGAAAUUACAAUACCGGCGAACGUGACUCCUGAACAAGUGCCCACCAAUAUCGUUGACUUUUCGAGCGUUGAGCAAUCCGAUGAAGCACUGGCCGCCGAGAUAAACAAAGCGCACGUCGUGUGCAUUGUGUACGCCGUGGACGAUGACGACUCGCUCGAUCGUAUAACAUCGCACUGGCUACCCCUAGUCCGCUCCACCUGCAGCAGCAGCAGCAGCACAAACACAGACGGCGAGCCCGAUGUGGCGCGCAAGCCAAUUGUCUUAGUUGGCAACAAAAUUGAUUUGAUCGAGUAUUCAACCAUCGACAGUGUUUUGGCCAUCAUGGAGGACUAUCCGGAGAUUGAGAGCUGUGUUGAAUGCUCCGCUAAGACUCUGCACAACAUUUCCGAAAUGUUCUACUACGCACAAAAGGCGGUGCUGCAUCCCACCUCACCGCUCUACAUCAUGGAGGAGCAAAAUCUAACGCCUGCCUGCAAAAAGUCGCUGGUGCGCAUAUUCAAGAUAUGCGAUAUUGAUAGCGACAAUCUGCUGAAUGAUUACGAGCUGAACCUCUUUCAGAGGCGUUGCUUUAAUACGCCGCUGCAGCCACAAAUAUUGGAUGAGGUGAAGUCCGUGAUACAGAAAAACGUGCCGGAUGGCAUCUACAAUGAUGCCGUGACGCUGCAGGGAUUUCUCUUUUUGCAUUGCCUGUUCAUACAGCGUGGACGCAACGAGACAACGUGGGCGGUGCUGCGACGAUUUGGCUACAACGAUCAAUUGGAGAUGUGCAAGGAGUAUUUGCGGCCGGCGUUGAAGAUUCCGCCGGGUAGCAGCACGGAGUUAUCGCAUCGCGGUCAACAGUUUUUGAUUGCGCUCUUCGAGCGGUACGAUCGCGAUGGCGAUGGCGCGCUGUCGCCGGAGGAGCACAAAAUGCUAUUCAGCACCUGCCCAUCGCCGCCCUGGUCCUAUUCGACGGACAUACGCAAGUCGUGUCCGACCAAUAGCUGCGGCUGGGUCACACUGCACGGUUGGCUGUGCCGUUGGACGCUGAUGACCCUGAUCGAUGUGGUCAAAACCAUGGAGUAUCUGGCCUACUUGGGCUUCAAUGUACACGAAAACGACAGCCAACUGGUGGCCAUCCAUGUGACGCGAGAGCGUCGCAUUGAUCUGGCCAAGCGGCAGAGCAGUCGGUCCGUGUACAAGUGCCACGUGAUCGGACCCAAGGGCUCGGGCAAGACCGGACUGUGCCGCGGCUUCCUCAUUGACGACAUGAGCAAGCUGCUGGGCAAAGAGUUCAAGACGAAUGUGGUGCACUGCAUCAACUCGGUGCAGGUGUAUGGCCAGGAGAAGCAUUUAAUAUUGCGUGACAUCGAUGUGCGGCAUGCGCUCGAUCCGCUGCAGCCGCAGGAGGUGAACUGCGACGUCGCCUGCCUGGUGUACGAUUCCUCCAAUCCGCGCUCCUUCGAGUAUGUGGCCCGCAUAUACAUUAAAUACUUUGCGGAAAGCAAAAUUCCCGUCAUGAUUGUGGGCACCAAGUGUGAUCUCGAGGAGCGUCGCCAGGACUAUCUAAUGCAGCCGGCGGAGUUCUGCGAGAAAUACAAGCUGCUCCCGCCCCAUCUCUUCAGCCUGAAGACCAACAAAAAGGAGCUCUACACUAAGCUGGCCACAAUGGCGGCCUUUCCGCGCUUUCAAGCCGCCUGGAUACUGUUCUACAAGCACAGGUUGGUACAGCUGUGGGAAUCGGCAUAUUUGCGACAAUUCGGACUGAUGACUGAGGAUCCGAAAGUUUGGCUCAAAGCUGGCUUGGGCGUGGCCGCCGCCACGGUGCUGGGCUUCAUAGUUCUAAAGGCGAUAAGUGCAACUGGAACGCACUCUCGUUAAGGAUUUUCAGGACCGGCGCUAACUGCCCAGGAGGACACCCACAACACAAACACACAAAUGUUCAGAAAUUUAUGUAAUUUAUGUUAACUGCGGAUUACAAACGCUUUUAAUUGUAAGCCGUUACAUUAUCAAAAUUUUGGUUGAAAAUGCCGCGUGAAACUUUUCAAGUGGAUUGAUAAAAGGAAGAUUUUCCAUUUUCAUGUCAAAACCUUAGUGUACAUAUAUUAAGCUGAUCCACGGACAAUGGCUAGGCGAGAGGGUGUUGCAGGGCACAGGGAUAGCAUACAUAUAGUAUAUCAAUCGUCUAUAUCUUUCACGCAUACGAUGCUGUGAUUAAGAUCGUAUCUAACUAGCCGUUCUAUAUACUCUAUAUAUAUAAACAAAUACAU